rnacentral:rRNA from 1 species
GGGCCCGCACAAGCGGUGGAACAUGUGGUUUAAUUCGACGCAACGCGCAAAACCUUACCUGGAUUUGACAUCCCGGGCUCACCUCAGAGAUGAGGUUUUCUCUUCGGAGACCCGGUGACAGGUGCUGCAUGGCUGUCGUCAGCUCGUGUCGUGAGAUGUUGGGUUAAGUCCCGCAACGAGCGCAACCCUUGUCCCUAGUUGCCAGCAUUGAGUUGGGCACUCUAGGGAGACUGCCGGUGAUAAGCCGGAGGAAGGUGGGGAUGACGUCAAGUCCUCAUGGCCUUUAUGUCCAGGGCUACACACGUGUUACAAUGGGGGUGACAAAGAGUGGCCAAGCUGCGAAGCUGCGCAAAUCUCAAAAAACCCUCUCAGUUCGGAUCGCAGUCUGCAACUCGACUGCGUGAAGUUGGAAUCGCUAGUAAUCGCAGGUC